GACAGAGGGUGCAAACGUUGUUCGGAAUUACUGGGCGUAAAGCGCGUGUAGGCGGCCAACUAAGUCGGGCGUGAAAUCCCACGGCUCAACCGUGGAAGUGCACUCGAAACUGGAUGGCUAGAGUCCUGGAGAGGAAGGUGGAAUGCUUGGUGUAGAGGUGAAAUUCGUAGAUAUCAAGCGGAACACCGGUGGCGAAGGCGGCCUUCUGGACAGUGACUGACGCUGAGACGCGAAAAGCGUGGGGGAGCAAACAGGG
rnacentral:rRNA from 1 species